AGGGAAAUGGUUCGCUCCGCGUUCGGCGGCGCUCGACUCUUUCCGACCUGUUACCGACGAGCGCGAUUCGCCCAGGUCGGCGCGAGGCAGGUGCGGCGGGUUGAGUCACUUCCAGGAAACCCGUCCCGCGUGUCAUCGGCGUGAAGUUAGAACCACAGAGGCUCGUGUUUGGACGCUCCUGGUUAAUUAUUGUCCUGCAAAUUUACCAGAUCACCCGGUUUAUAGUCUUCUUAUAACUUCUCUAUUAUGGGUUUGACGUUGGUUUGAUUUAAACACAUUCAUAUGUACCGUUUUUUCCGCUCUCCUUAAAUGUGGAAACUCCGUUUCUGCAGUCGAAACACGUGAUCUGCAGGAGCUAAAAGUUCCUGCAGUGAAGUCAUGUCCACCUCAUACACUGCUGUAAACCUGGUCUCUGCACAACCUCCCUCAAAAUGUAUUACUAUCCACAAUGUAUAAGACAGAACUAUGUAUGUGCUUAUUUAGACGUUAUUCUCAAAGUGUUACUUCACUUUUAUGUCACAAUCGCUAUAUGCCAUAAAAUGCCUGCUUCCUGUCAACUGAGGAUUUAAAAGGAAAAUCCUUUAUGUAGUUGAUUCAAAGACCAUAGUCAAUUAUAAAGCUAAGCUCUGAUCUGGCUGAUGUUUGCGUUGCACAGCUGUUAAAAUAAAUACGUGCAAUCUGUAAGUGUGACUCGAAGAUGCUGACAGCUGGCAUAGACAUUCUCAAGUUACUUAGCAACAGCCACGGACGGACAAAGAUAAUAUGGCUGCUGUUGGAACUGGGGGGUGGUGUGAAAUCAGCACGUCUCCUUUACACAGCGUCAGGACGUUAAAAGAAACACCGGGGGAUGAAGAGGGUACGAGGGGAUUGUUAGUAGCGACUGGGAGAGCGUCCAGCUGGAAGGAUGUCCUCGUGAGUCAAGGGGGAAACAGUCACGUGUCAGAAGGGAGGAGGGAGUACAGUCACAGUGGGGGAACGUGCUCAAGCGUCGCCAUCUGCAGGAUGCCUGAAUACAAUGCAUCUGUCCGGCUGUCCGUCUGUCCCGGCUCAGAGGAACUCAUUUUUGGCUGCCGUGCUCCUGUUUUGCUUUGAAAGGAAAAAUGACACACCAAGUAGGAGUUUGAACUGCAGACUGUUAAUUGCAGCGGAUUCGAUGGUAUUUUAGGUCUCAUUGGAUGAACAUUAAAAAACACACUGGCCAUUUUAUCUCCAUGGUCUCAUUUCAUGCUGCCAAAUGUUUCUGGCCAGACUGAGCCUGUAAUAACAGCUAUUUCUAAUAUGGGCGCCAAUGAUAUCUCUGUAAAGUCUGGUAAACGCCACA